UACGUAGGCGGAUUGGUAAGUUAGAGGUGAAAUCCCGGGGCUCAACCCCGGAACUGCCUUUAAUACUGCUAGUCUUGAGUUCGAGAGAGGUGAGUGGAAUUCCGAGUGUAGAGGUGAAAUUCGUAGAUAUUCGGAGGAACACCAGUGGCGAAGGCGGCUCACUGGCUCGAUACUGACGCUGAGGUACGAAAGUGUGGGGAGCAAACAGGAUUAGAUACCCUGGUAGUCC
rnacentral:rRNA from 1 species